UACAGAGGUCUCGAGCGUUAGGCGGAAUCACUGGGCUUAAAGCGUGUGUAGGCGGCUCGUUAAGUACCUUGUGAAGUCCCACGGCUUAACCGUGGAACUGCUUGGUAUACUGGCGGUCUUGAGCCAGCUAGGGGCUACCGGAACAAAUGGUGGAGCGGUGAAAUGCGUAGAUAUCAUUUGGAACGCCAAUGGUGAAAACAGGUAGCUGGGGCUGUGCUGACGCUGAGACACGAAAGCCAGGGGAGCAAACGGG
rnacentral:rRNA from 1 species